rnacentral:rRNA from 1 species
UACGUAGGCAGCAAGCGUUGUUCGGAGUUACUGGGCGUAAAGGGCUCGUAGGUGGCCAACUAAGUCAGACGUGAAAUCCCUCAGCUUAACUGGGGAACUGCGUCUGAUACUGGAUGGCUUGAGUUUGGGAGAGGGAUGCGGAAUUCCAGGUGUAGCGGUGAAAUGCGUAGAUAUCUGGAGGAACACCGGUGGCGAAGGCGGCAUCCUGGACCAACACUGACACUGAUGAGCGAAAGCCAGGGGAGCAAACGGG